AUUGAACGCUGGCGGCAGGCCUAACACAUGCAAGUCGAGCGGAUGACGGGAGCUUGCUCCUUGAUUCAGCGGCGGACGGGUGAGUAAUGCCUAGGAAUCUGCCUGGUAGUGGGGGACAACGUUUCGAAAGGAACGCUAAUACCGCAUACGUCCUACGGGAGAAAGCAGGGGACCUUCGGGCCUUGCGCUAUCAGAUGAGCCUAGGUCGGAUUAGCUAGUAGGUGAGGUAAUGGCUCACCUAGGCGACGAUCCGUAACUGGUCUGAGAGGAUGAUCAGUCACACUGGAACUGAGAAACGGUCAAGACUCCUACGGGAGGCAGCAGUGGGGAAUAUUGGACAAUGGGCGAAAGCCUGAUCCAGCCAUGCCGCGUGUGUGAAGAAGGUCUUCGGAUUGUAAAGCACUUUAAGUUGGGAGGAAGGGCAGUAAGUUAAUACCUUGCUGUUUUGACGUUACCGACAGAAUAAGCACCGGCUAACUCUGUGCCAGCAGCCGCCGUAAUAC
rnacentral:rRNA from 1 species